rnacentral:rRNA from 1 species
GACACAGGGAGGUAGUGACAAGAAAUAACAAUACGGGGCUUAAUGUCUUGUAAUUGGAAUGAUGGGAAUUUAAACCUCUUCCAGAGUAUCAAUUGGAGGGCAAGUCUGGUGCCAGCAGCCGCGGUAAUUCCAGCUCCAAUAGCGUAUAUUAAAUUUGUUGCAGUUAAAAAGCUCGUAGUUGAAUUUCUGCUGCAUUACAUUUCUCUUGUUUGAGUUUGUUAUUGUGGCUUAUUUCGGAUUGAUUUCUAUCUUUCCGGACGAUUACUUUGAGAAAAUUAGAGUGCUCAAAGCAGGCUUUUGCCUUGAAUAGUUUAGCAUGGAAUAAUAAAGUGGGACUUUGGUUCUAUUUUGUUGGUUUUAGGUACCAAAGUAAUGGUAAUAGGAACAGUUGGGGGCAUUUA